UAGGGAAUAUUGCGCAAUGGGGGAAACCCUGACGCAGCGACGCCGCGUGAGUGAUGAAGGCCUUCGGGUCGUAAAGCUCUGUUGCAAGGGAAUAAUAAGUGAAUGUACCUUGUGAGGAAGGAUCGGCUAACUUCGUGCCAGCAGCCGCGGUAAGACGAGGGAUCCUAGCGUUGUUCGGAAUCAUUGGGCGUAAAGCGGGUGUAGGUGGCUUGGUAAGUCAGGUGUGAAAGCCCGGGGCUUAACCCCGGAAGUGCAUUUGAAACUGCCGAGCUUGAGUGUGGGAGAGGAUAGUGGAAUUCCAGGUGUAGUGGUGAAAUACGUAGAUAUCUGGAGGAACAUCGGUGGCGAAGGCGGCUAUCUGGCCCAACACUGACACUCAGACCCGAAAGCGUGGGGAUCA
rnacentral:rRNA from 1 species